rnacentral:rRNA from 1 species
GAUGAACGCUGGCGGCGUGCCUAAUACAUGCAAGUCGAGCGAACAGACGAGGAGCUUGCUCCUCUGACGUUAGCGGCGGACGGGUGAGUAACACGUGGAUAACCUACCUAUAAGACUGGGAUAACUUCGGGAAACCGGAGCUAAUACCGGAUAAUAUAUUGAACCGCAUGGUUCAAUAGUGAAAGACGGUUUUGCUGUCACUUAUAGAUGGAUCCGCGCCGCAUUAGCUAGUUGGUAAGGUAACGGCUUACCAAGGCAACGAUGCGUAGCCGACCUGAGAGGGUGAUCGGCCACACUGGAACUGAGACACGGUCCAGACUCCUACGGGAGGCAGCAGUAGGGAAUCUUCCGCAAUGGGCGAAAGCCUGACGGAGCAACGCCGCGUGAGUGAUGAAGGUCUUCGGAUCGUAAAACUCUGUUAUUAGGGAAGAACAAAUGUGUGAGUAACUAUGCACGUCUUGACGGUACCUAAUCAGGAAGCCACGGCUAACUACGUG